UACGGGGGGGGCAAGCGUUGUUCGGAAUUACUGGGCGUAAAGGGCUCGUAGGCGGCCAACUAAGUCAGACGUGAAAUCCCUCGGCUUAACCGGGGAACUGCAUCUGAUACUGGAUGGCUUGAGUUCGGGAGAGGGAUGCGGAAUUCCAGGUGUAGCGGUGAAAUGCGCAGAUAUCAGGAGGAACACCGGUGGCGAAGGCGGAUCUCUGGGCCGUAACUGACGCUGAGGAGCGAAAGCAUGGGUAGCGAACAGG
rnacentral:rRNA from 1 species